UGUCCACAAAUGAUGGCCAGGCCCCAUUACUGAAGACAAUACCAACACAACUCAUUGAGCAUGGUGAAGUUGAGCCAGUGCCUACAUAGAGCCUUCACUAUGUUCUAGGGUCUUUUGUACAGGAAGGUACUCAGUACACUACCGAAAGAGAAACUUAAACACGGAGCCAGCCACAAACCCUCUGAUCCACAAUGGUGUCCUGCCUAUAAGAUAUGCUAGGACAAUGGUGGCACAAAGCUUGUGUCAGUGUCCUGCUCAGCCACCAGAGAAAUUUCCUCCCACAGCCAGACAUUAUGCAGAGAAUGAGAGACCUUGGGACACUCAGCCAUAAAUGGGAUAUCUCCAUCAAAUCCUCCCCCCGCACCUUCCCCCAGAGCUGGAAAAGAGUGUAGGAAUCAGAGGUCAUGGAGGACACCAAGAAAACAAGGCCCUCUAAAUCAUCAUGAUCAAAGUUCAUAUGAACUCACAGAGAUUGAAACAGCUUUAUGAGUUUCCUUAGAGCAUGAAAGAGUGAAUAUAUGAUUCUUGUGCUUCU